UACACACCGCCCGUCACACCAUGGAAGUCUGUUGCACCAGAAGUCGGUAGUCUAACCGCAAGGGGGGCGCCGACCACGGCGUGGCCGAUGACUGGGGUG
rnacentral:rRNA from 1 species